rnacentral:lncRNA from 1 species
UUGGACAAAAGAUAAAAAUAGAGAAAAUUUAAAUUGCCAUAACUUCUUUGUUUUAGCUUUGUUUUGCCUUCGGAAAAUUACGUUGAUUCGUAUCGAUGCAAGAAUCUAAUAAAAUGAUAAAAACACACCGAAGAUCACGUUUUCGAAAAACGUAUAUCCGGGUUGAAAUUUUCGUGUUCCAAUAUUUCUCGAUGAACACAAAAUCGAAGGCUUGGACACCACUUAUUGUGAUUUUCUGAUCGCUAUAAAGAUUGUUUGGGAGGAAAAACAACUCCAUUUCACAAGAAUAGAAUUAUAGAGAAUUUACACCAAGAAUUUCUCUCUACAAAAAAACUUCACCAAACUCUCUUUUGUUCUCACAAUCUCUUCCUGGAUUAUAUAUCAAUCUCUCUGGAUUGAUUUUUUGUGUAAAAUAUAAGGCUUUAUUUAUAGCCUUAAAGAAUGUGGUUGAUGGUUAAAUUCUCCAUUCAACAAUAGAGGCUUCAACAAUGAUGACUUUUAGAAUAGAUCGGUGGCUUCAACAAUGGUAAACUUCUAGAAUUGAUUGUUGGCAGCAGCUGAAAUUAUCAAUAACAAGAGGACAAUACUUUUAAAAGGAAGUUUUAAAGAAUCUGGCUUGUGUUAUUUGUAGGUUUGGAGUAGAAGGCGACAAUUGGAGAGUAUGCAGAAGCGGCUAUAUGAAAGAAAGAUUGUGACGACUAAGGGAAGA